UUUAUUUAUGAAUUACCACCCCAAAGAUUUAACUGUAGAUUAUGUAAGAAUGACCCAGCCAAUCUAAGAAUUACCCAACUUCCAGAGAGCCCAUCCCCUGUAUUUGUAAUUUUGCCAAGUACUUUGAUUACAGGGAACAGUGGCACAUACAGAGAGAAACAGGCAGCCUCUUUUGAGGGUGAGUUAUUUGGUGCAUCUCUGUACUGGAAGUGACUGACUGAUCAAGUCACAUUCCCAGUCCCAGCACCGGAUGACUGACAGGCAUCCAGACUAGAUCAGUUAAUCAUAGAGAGGUACAACAGACAGGCUUUUUUUGCAAAUAUGUUCUUCAGGCUUACAAGAGCCUUAUCUUUUUAAAUUCAUAUAUUAUCCUUAGCACUAGUAUUUCUCUUGUGGUGUGCAGUUUGGAUUUUUAUUUUUAUUUAUUUUAUUUUUUAUUUUAUUUUUUUUGCUGUAUUGUGAAGAGGGAGCAAGCAAAAUUGGGCUACUGUCUUUUCAACUGCUUACCAAGCAGCCUGGACAAGGACCAGCCGUGGUUUCCCCAUUUCUUGAAUAAGCCUUUAGGAGAGUAUUUAUAGGGCUGUGCACUGUAUUUAAAUGUGGUGGUUUAAAAAAAAAUGCUUUGUGGUGUGACCUUGUAUGGGCACAGAUGGUUCAUAAAUUGUUACGUACUAGAGUCUUACAUUGAAGUUGUGGACCUGUCAGAAUUUGACAGAUUGUCUUCUUUCUUUCUUUGGUUCCCCCCCUCCCCACCCACCUUCCUUCUUCCUUUGGGAAAUGCACAGCCCUGCAUUGACAUGAUCUGAUGCAGGACAACUAUGGCCCCAGCCAUUGGCUCAGCUGCUCUGAGCUGAGCUGACUGUACUUAGCGACUACCUGACUGACACUGAUGGAUUGACUGUUCUCUCCAUCCCCACCAGAGCACAUUGCUCUAAACCGGUGGCCUCUGUUGCUGGUGAAGCUGAAAUGGAGCUAUUAAUGUGGAAAGAGACUGAGAUUCUGCAACCCCAGGAAGACUCUGAUGCUCCCCUGUUGGCUUUCCAGAGAAUCCCUCCUGCCCAAUCGCAGCUCAGCUCCUUCCAGCUUUUUCCCCCUGUUGAGAGAAUAGAUUGCUGCCAACACGGUUUGAAAGAGGCAAUCAUGCAGUUGACUCGUGCAGUCGUGCAUAAAACUGGGCCGGCUAUUUUUCAGGCAACAAAGCAGAUGGCAACCAUCAAAGCGGAACCUUUAAUGCCUUAGGCGGUCCUACCCUGUUAUGGUGGACCUGAAAGGUAUAUACAACGAAUAUCUGUGAUUAUUCGUUUUGGGGAGCAAAGAAUCACAUAUUUGCAUCAGUUAAAAAGUGUCCUGAAUAUAUAGCAACAGGUUUUUAAAAGGUAUUGUGA